AUCCUACGGGAGGCAGCAGUGGGGAAUAUUGCACAAUGGGGGGAACCCUGAUGCAGCAAUGCCGCGUGGGUGAAGAAGCACUCCGGUGCGUAAAGCCCUGUCAGCAGGGAAGAAAAUGACAGUACCUGACCAAGAAGCCCCGGCUAACUACGUGCCAGCAGCCGCGGUAAUACGUAGGGGGCAAGCGUUAUCCGGAAUUACUGGGUGUAAAGGGAGCGUAGGCGGCAAGGUAAGUAAGAUGUGAAAGCCCGCAGCUUAACUGCGAGGAUUGCAUUUUAAACUAUCUGGCUUGAGUACAGGAGAGG
rnacentral:rRNA from 1 species